rnacentral:rRNA from 1 species
AUUGAACGCUGGCGGCAGGCCUAACACAUGCAAGUCGAGCGGCAGCGGAAGGAAGCUUGCUUCCUUGCCGGCGAGCGGCGGACGGGGGCGUAAGGUAUGGGGAACUGGCCGAAGGCGGGGGAGAACCCCUGGGAACGGUGGCUAAUACCGCAUAAGCUCUGAGGGGCAAAGUGGGGGACGCUUCAGGCCUCCCACCUUCGGAGGAACCCAUAUGAGACUAGCGAGUAGGUGGGGUAAUGGCUCACCUAGGCGACGAACUCUAGCUUGUCUGAGAGGAUGAUCAGCCACACUGGGACUGAGACACGGCCCAGACUCCUACGGGAGGCAGCAGUGGGGAAUAUUGCACAAUGGGCGCAAGCCUGAUGCAGCCAUGCCGCGUGUAUGAAGAAGGCCUUCGGGUUGUAAAGUACUUUCAGUCGUGAGGAAGGUGUUAAGGUUAAUAACCUUAGCAAUUGACGUUAGCGACGGAAUAAGCACCGGCUAACUCCGUGCCAGCAGCCGCCGUAA